rnacentral:rRNA from 1 species
UAAGGAAUAUUGGUCAAUGGGCGGAAGCCUGAACCAGCCAUGCCGCGUGGAGGAUGAAGGUCCUCUGGAUUGUAAACUUCUUUUAUCUGGGAAGAAAUGCAUCUUUUCUAAGGUGUUUGACGGUACCAGAUGAAUAAGCACCGGCUAACUCCGUGCCAGCAGCCGCGGUAAUACGGAGGGUGCAAGCGUUAUCCGGAUUCACUGGGUUUAAAGGGUGCGUAGGUGGGUUAUUAAGUCAGUGGUGAAAUCUCCGGGCUCAACUCGGAAACUGCCAUUGAUACUAGUAGUCUUGAAUAUCGUGGAGGUAAGCGGAAUAUGUCAUGUAGCGGUGAAAUGCUUAGAUAUGACAUAGAACACCAAUUGCGAAGGCAGCUUACUACCCGAAUAUUGACACUGAGGCACGAAAGCGUGGGGAUCAAAC